rnacentral:rRNA from 1 species
UGGGGGAUAUUGCACAAUGGGGGAAACCCUGAUGCAGCGACGCCGCGUGUAGGAAGACGGUCCUCUGGAUUGUAAACUACUGUCUUCGGGGACGAUAAUGACGGUACCCGAGGAGGAAGCUCCGGCUAACUACGUGCCAGCAGCCGCGGUAAUACGAAGGGGGCGAGCGUUGUUCGGAAUUACUGGGCGUAAAGGGUGUGUAGGCGGUUUUGUAAGAUAGCGGUGAAAUGCCUAAGCUCAACUUAGGGGCUGCCGUUGAUACUGCAUAGCUGGAAUAUGGUUGCUGUUGGCGGAAUGUGUAGUGUAGCGGUGAAAUGCAUAGAUAUUACACAGAACACCUAUUGCGAAGGCAGCUGACAAAACCAUUAUUGACGCUGAGGCACGAAAGUGUGGGGAUCAAACA